AAGACCUGGAUGUGUUGCUGUACCUGGGGACAGGAGGAUUCCCCUGGAGACUGAGGAAGCCAUUAAAAACUUGAUGGGGUUUCAUUCUGUGCCCUUGCUUCUUUCCACAGGUUUUAUUUUAUCCAUGGGAAGAAAUGGAUUUUCAAACACCAAGAGAGCUUCUCUGAGCCAAGCAGAGCUGCCAUCCACACCUCACUGAAACACUCCUGGAAAAAUGCACCGAUGGGAAAGUGGCCUUUCCAUCCUGAUUCGCCUCCACUCAAAGAUCUGCUUCUGUUCACAGGAGGAAAAUGAACUCUCAUGCAAAUAAGGCAACAACGGAUUUACAAUGAGCAUGGAAAAAAGAUUCUCAGAGACUGGCUGGCCUGCAGGGACAUCCCCACUCCUGGUCUUCCCAGCCGCAGUCUGGGACUUUCUUUCCAGAGGGUCAGUGAUAAUUUACACCCUGUG